AGGCAGAGGAAUUCAACCAAUUCAAGGUAAUUUCUCUUCAAUAGUUGCAUCGCUACUGUCCAUGUGCUUUCUUUCUAUCUUUCUUUCUCUAUUUAUUUUCUCUUCCGCAUGCAUGUACGCACAUCCUCAACUAGCUAGGAUUGGAGUUAACUAAUUACUUGUUGUUUGUAACUUAAUUAACUUAAAACAUGUAUGUGAGAUAGCUAGCUUUCUUGUUGGACCGAUUAUGCCAAGCGCCACAUGAACAACUAGCUAGCAAGUGAAGCACUGCGUGAAAAAUACUCAUCACACGUUUUUCUUUUGGGGAUCAAUACAGGUGUUGAUUGCCACAUCCCAUUGGAUCGCUUGUAGCUCCCCGAUCUGGAUCUGGAUAACUAGCUACAGUAGUACGACUCUGGAUGGCUGCUAUAUAUCUCCCUCAUUUGAUCUGCAUCGGCUGCUCACUCCUCAUCACGCAUCUCUCCACUUGAUUCAAGGUAACUCAGCUCCACCACACUUACUCUACCUACUACUGUUUUGUUUUUCCUUUGAAGAGAUGGUCUUGGUUGUGACUUUCCGUUAGAAUUGUUGGCGUUUGUUCAAGAUAAAAAUCCAUUGGUUUUAUCUUGUGUGCACUGUAUUCUUGUGUGCGAAGCCACAGUUUUCCUUCAGAUGAGUGAAUCUGGUAUCCGUCUUCAGGUGGUGCGCACUAACAUGUAAUACAGAGGACUCAUUUUAACUGCAUGUUUCUUUUCAGUACCAGCUGAAAACGCGAGCCAAGCCUGCACCUACUUCCCAGAGAGCAAGGGAGGGAGAUCUAUCUAGUUUUUGCUCUGAAAUAAGGGUGAACCCAAGAUCCGUCUCUGAUCUCUCCAGUCGAUUCAAGGUACACCACACUUUCUAGCUAUCUUUCUCUCUCUGAAACCGUUGAUCUUGUGCAUUUCUGUUUGAAUUCUUGGUGUUUGUUCAAGCCAAAUUUGUGUGCACGGUCUUCUACUUUGCAAGCCACAUUCUCCCUUGGGAUUUCUUGCUAGUAUCUAGUGACUGAAUCUGAUUAUCCUUGCUGUUAGCUUUGGAUUGUUGAUGUGAAAAAGCAGUAAUUUUUAUUUGCAUGCUUGUUUUCAGUACCAGCUCAAGUGUGAGCUAACCC
rnacentral:lncRNA from 1 species